AAUGAGAAUAUUUCCAUGCGUUGUCGAAUGAGAAUAUUUACCGUUCGUUUAUCGAACAUGUUGAUCAAUUACCGUUCGUCAACCGAAUAAUUACCGUUGUCUAUCGAACAGUUAGUUAUCGUUUUGUCUAUCGAAGAGUUAGCGAUCAUUUAGUCAACCGAAGAAUUUUAUAUCCGUCAAUCUGUCAGACAAUUGUCAAUAUCGAAAUCAAUAUUCCCGCACAUGGCAGGUUGCCCGAAGGUGGAGCUUAUUGCCAGUUGCAUCAAACGUCGGUUAACGCUACCUUCUCGUCGACAACCAAAUAGAACGUAACAGCGAGCAGCUUGGACAGCGUGAACAAACGCUUGGACAGAGAACAACGUUUAGAGGCUGAGACGCGUUCGAGAGGAAAGUUGGACGAUGCGUAAAGGUUGCGAGGCAUUGAGAAAGUACUACUGGAGAAAGUAGGAGAACUGGAGGAACGGCUGCUGAAGACCGUCGUUCAGCGGUGUAAAAACGAGCUGCUCGAGAAAGAAAGGCUCAAUUGGGGAAAAAAUGCAGAACUGGAACAAAAGUGUCGAGCGUACAAAGGUCGGAACGUUGUUUCAGAUAAAACGAAGAGGCAAGUCGAUGAGUUAAAGGGGUGUCUGUACAGACCAAGAACGAAUAAUAGAUUACCCUCUCAGCGACAAAAGUGACAUAGUUUAGAAAACAUAUUGGAAGAAAUUUUCAAUUUGCUCUAAAAAAAAAAAAUUGGACGAUUCAUCCCUUAGGAUUCUUUCUGAUUAAGAACCGAAGAUGAGAGAAACAAUCUUUUUGUCAAUUUCAUAGUAAGGAUAUAUCGCACAUACUAAAGCGCCGAGUUUUCAAGGCGGAUGCGUUCCUUAUCCGAGCUACUCGACACCCGAUCCACCUACGUUCAUUUGCGAAUAAUUUCACGUUAAAAUAACUCGUGUUCUACGCGUGAAACACGGUGCAACUGAACAGAAAAUUAUCUUUGGCGUAUGUACACGUAUACGGAAAAUCUAAUUUAUUUACAUAAAAAUAGCAACGGACGACGUUCUGCUAACGACACCUCUAUGCUUGGGAAAUUUUUAGGGGAAAUCUUAGGAAGAUUGUUCUUUAUUUCGUACAGUCUCGACGCGGUAUCGUCUCCCUCGCGAUUACUCUAAUUUCCUAUAAAUCUCAGGCGCGUAUAACUUCGAUGUAUCGAUACACAUUUGCUUUAUAAUAAAUCUCAGACGAUCAAUAAUA